GAUGAACGCUGGCGGCGUGCCUAAUACAUGCAAGUCGAGCGAACAGACGAGGAGCUUGCUCCUCUGAUGUUAGCGGCGGACGGGUGAGUAACACGUGGAUAACCUACCUAUAAGACUGGGAUAACUUCGGGAAACCGGAGCUAAUACCGGAUAACAUGUUGAACCGCAUGGUUCAACAGUGAAAGACGGUCUUGCUGUCACUUAUAGAUGGAUCCGCGCCGCAUUAGCUAGUUGGUAAGGUAACGGCUUACCAAGGCAACGAUGCGUAGCCGACCUGAGAGGGUGAUCGGCCACACUGGAACUGAGACACGGUCCAGACUCCUACGGGAGGCAGCAGUAGGGUAUCUUCCGCAAUGGGCGAAAGCCUGACGGAGCAACGCCGCGUGAGUGAAGAAGGUCUUCGGAUCGUAAAACUCUGUUAUUAGGGAAGAACAAAUGUGUAAGUAACUAUGCACGUCUUGACGGUACCUAAUCAGAAAGCCACGGCUAACUACGU
rnacentral:rRNA from 1 species